GGACAGGUGGGUGAGUGGCUUAAACCAGCGGAUUGCUAAUCCGCCGCUCCCAACCGGGGGCCGAGGGUUCGAAUCCCUCCCUGUCCGCCA
rnacentral:tRNA from 1 species